UAAAACAGGAGUAUAUUAUGAUCCUUGAGAUGUCGCAUUUCUUCAAAAGGCAUAUAUGAGAUGCGUAUGCUUGUCACAUUUGGGGGUAAUUCAAAAUGAUUGCAGAGCCUCCUUUAACAUGCCUGUCCUUGAGGAUUUUGUGGCAUCGAUCACCGUCUCAAGAUUGUUGUUUCAAGUGACUUGAUCUAAAGUUUCACAAGCAGAAUGUUAUUGGCUUUCAAUGAGCAUAGAAAUGGCCAAAUGUUUCUUGAAGAUGCCACAUCUUAGGUGAGGGAGCUUGUUGAAUUGCUCUGUUUUGAAGAGUCAUAUGAGGAACAAGGAAGGCGGGGAAAAAAGCUAAUAUCUAUAGGAAUCCCCUUUAGCUAAUUCAAGAGUUACAGGCGAAAAAUUAUCAAUGGUCAUUAUUUCUGCAUGUUACCAGAAAAGCAGCAUUACUUUGUUGCUCAUUUUACGUUUGGAUUGAAAAUUUGAUUAUUCCUGGUGUUGUGCUUCUUUAGGCUUCAACAUUAAGAGCUUUGUGGGUAUUAUGGAAUUAACAAUUUUCAUGAGGCAGAAUUGCAUUUCCUAUCAGCUGUAAACUACUUUUUGCACAUUUUGUUUUAGUUUGGAGUGAACUGUGUAAAACUCUAGUUACCAAUUACGAGUAAGUUAUGGAAAAAUUAUGGAAUUGUGAUUUGUAAGAGUUGUAGGUGAGCUCAUUGCAAAAUCUAGUGGGAUUAUAAUCGGAUUUUAAUGGUGAGAAAAUCUCUUCAGUAGUUUUCAAGAGGACUAGAUA